UACGGAGGGUGCAAGCGUUGUCCGGAAUCACUGGGCGUAAAGGGCGCGUAGGCGGCCUGGUAAGUAGGGGGUGAAAUCCUGCGGCUUAACCGCAGGGCUGCCUUCUAAACUGUCAGGCUUGAGCACGGUAGAGGCAGAUGGAAUUCCCGGUGUAGCGGUGGAAUGCGUAGAGAUCGGGAAGAACAUCAGUGGCGAAAGCACUCUGCUGGGCCGACACUGACACUGAGAGACGAAAGCUAGGGGAGCGAAUGGG
rnacentral:rRNA from 1 species